GACGAACGCUGGCGGCGUGCUUAACACAUGCAAGUCGAACGGACAGGCCCUGCUUUUGUGGGGUGCUCGAGUGGCGAACGGGUGAGUAACACGUGAGUAACCUGCCCUUGACUUUGGGAUAACUUCAGGAAACUGGGGCUAAUACCGGAUAUGAGCUCCUGCUGCAUGGUGGGGGUUGGAAAGUUUCGGCGGUUGGGGCUGGACUCGCGGCGUCUGAGCUUGUUGGUGGGGUAGUGGCUUACCAAGGCUUUGACGGGUAGCCGGCCUGAGAGGGUGACCGGCCACAUUGGGACUGAGAUACGGCCCAGACUGCUACGGGAGGCAGCAGUGGGGAAUAUUGCACAACGGGCGGGAGCCUGAUGCAGCAACGCCGCGUGCGGGAUGACGGCCUUCGGGUUGUAAACCGCUGUCGCCUGUGACGAAGCGUGAGUGACGGUAAUGGGUAAAGAAGCAACGGCUAACUACGUG
rnacentral:rRNA from 1 species